UCUGCAGAGGCACGGCGGGGUCAGAGGGACACAGCACUCCUGCCCUGCCCCGCUCCUGCGUGCGGGCACAGGAUGGCAGCAGCACGGCCAAGCACGGGUGCAGCGGGUCAGCCCCACUGCCCUGCAGCACUGCGAUGAGCCACACAGAUCUGCAUUACCCCGGGGCAGGGAGCAGUGCCUUUGCUCUGGGCCCAUCCAGGUUCUAAGGACAGAGCGUCUCCGAAUCCUCCUCCUUAGCAGCGGGAGAGCAGUGUGCACAGCACGAAGCACAUCUAUACCAAAGCUUUAGCAUUUCAGAGCAAGCACGGGAGGAGAAAAUUAACCACAUUUUGCCUAGAGUAUAGCCAAUUUCUGACCAAUUUAAGACAAACAAUCAGCCUUUAGGCAGCAGAAACUCCAGGCCAGCUUUGUCCCAAAGCACAGGUGCUCCCUCUUUGCACUACUCCAUUCACCCUCAAGCUGAACCUGCUCAGAGGCAGUGCAUCCCACAGGAGGAGGAAGGCAGCCAGUGAGAAGCGCAUCUGAAAGGAGCGGCCAGGAAAACACAAGCAAAGCCCGGAGCGCACCCACCAGCUCCGUCGAGUUGAAAUACCAGGGCAAAGGCAAUGGCGAGGACGUACAGACCUGGUGGGAGGAGAGAGUGAGGAGCAGUUGCUGCAGGGGGAAAUACGGUGGCAGGGAGCAGCACAGGCCCCCACCAGCUGCCCUCAUCCCAUGGGCACAGCCACAGCGCUGGCCUCAUCCACAGGACAGCACCAAGUCCUGCCUGGCUCCCCCAGAGACAGCGCAGAUUCAAAGGGAUCCAUAAUAUCACCACGGAUAAAGUAUGCAAAUGGAA